CUUUGAAGAUGUUUCAUAGAGAACUGGCAUUUUAAUUUACACAGCUUUUCUGGAACACAAACAACUAUUAAGAAAACUGUAUCUCUCAAGGAGUGUGACCUAUUUACUCAAAAUUACACUACAAGUUAAUAAAAGAGAAAGAACUCAAAGCAAAGUCAUCUGUCUUCUCAAGCAGAACUCUCUCCAAUACACCCAUGAGCUCUAAGUAGUCACUUGUAUUCCUCCUGAGAAGUCUCAAAAUACUAUGGAUUGUUAAAGUAGAAAACUGGAACCUCAUGGGGCCAUCUUAGAUCCUCAACAGGUAUGUUCUAGAAAGCCUUUGCUGGUGUGUUCUCAAUGAAGAUGUGGUCUACAGUUUUGGUAUCCAAAGGCUACAGUGUUACAGGUAUUGCAUAUGAAUCAUGGCCAUGAAUAUCCAUGAGUGAUCUAUGUUAAAGACUGGGAUAAGGUAAAAGUACAAUGUGAUUGUCAAAU
rnacentral:lncRNA from 13 species